UGCAAUCCUGUAUACAGUCUUGACGUUCAUGUCAUGUCUUCAGUAUAAAGUCCUACGGUCCUAAGAACAGGUAAUUAUUUGCCAUUUGCAUAAUCCUUGGAGAAGUGACAGUUUAAAUAUUUUGCCCACUUUACUGAGUUUCAAGAAUUCUUCACACAUUCUAGCUUCAGAUCCUUAGGCAGUGCUAUCCUGUUGUGGACUGUGCCUGUGACAUGAGGUAAAUGAGAGGGGGAUGUUAAAGUAAUAGUAACAAAAACUAAUAGGGUCACCUUCCUCUAAACACAACGAAAGUCUGUGCGUGCAGCCCCCAAAGACACCGUGCAGCCAAGCUGGCCUGACUGCAGGCCGGCCACCUCCAUCUCCAGGAACCAAGGCCCCGACUGGUGCUGGCCAAUCAGCCAGCCCUCUCUACUUUCUCAGGGUCCAUCACAGGCGUCCAGGAAACUCCAGUAAAAGACCCAACAAGCCCAGAUUCUCCACGAACAAAGCACCAUCGACACAUCCAGAGGGCCGGCAGCUAUAAGCUCUCUCUCCUGUCUCUCCUGCUCUUUUAUGUUUCAUCCCAGACAUGACGACCUCAGAUCCUCAAAAGUCCACAUGAGGCGCAUGUACA
ensembl:lncRNA